rnacentral:rRNA from 1 species
AGAGUUUGAUCAUGGCUCAGAUUAAACGCUGGCGGCAUGCCUUACACAUGCAAGUCGAACGGCAGCACGGGGGCAACCCUGGUGGCGAGUGGCGAACGGGUGAGUAAAGCAUCGGAACGUGCCCUGGAGUGGGGGAUAACGUAGCGAAAGUUACGCUAAUACCGCAUAUUCUGUGAGCAGGAAAGCAGGGGAUCGCAAGACCUUGCGCUCUGGGAGCGGCCGAUGUCGGAUUAGCUAGUUGGUGGGGUAAAGGCCUACCAAGGCGACGAUCCGUAGCGGGUCUGAGAGGAUGAUCCGCCACACUGGGACUGAGACACGGCCCAGACUCCUACGGGAGGCAGCAGUGGGGAAUUUUGGACAAUGGGCGAAAGCCUGAUCCAGCCAUGCCGCGUGAGUGAAGAAGGCCUUCGGGUUGUAAAGCUCUUUCGGUGGGGAAGAAAUUGCAUGGGUUAAUACCCUGUGUGGAUGACGGUACCGGCAUAAGAAGCACCGGCUAACUACGUG